rnacentral:siRNA from 1 species
AACGUCAACAUACAUCUAGAGGUA